GAGUUUGAUCCUGGCUCAGAUUGAACGCUGGCGGCAGGCCUAACACAUGCAAGUCGAACGGUAACAGGAUGUGCUUGCACAUCGCUGACGAGUGGCGGACGGGUGAGUAAUGCUUGGGAACUUGCCUUUGCGAGGGGGAUAACAGUUGGAAACGACUGCUAAUACCGCAUAAUGUCUUCGGACCAAACGGGGCUUCGGCUCCGGCGCAAAGAGAGGCCCAAGUGAGAUUAGCUAGUUGGUAAGGUAACGGCUUACCAAGGCGACGAUCUCUAGCUGUUCUGAGAGGAAGAUCAGCCACACUGGGACUGAGACACGGCCCAGACUCCUACGGGAGGCAGCAGUGGGGAAUAUUGCACAAUGGGGGAAACCCUGAUGCAGCCAUGCCGCGUGUGUGAAGAAGGCCUUCGGGUUGUAAAGCACUUUCAGUUGUGAGGAAAAGUUAGUAGUUAAUACCUGCUAGCCGUGACGUUAACAACAGAAGAAGCACCGGCUAACUCCGUGCCAGCAGCCGCGGUAAUACGGAGGGUGCGAGCGUUAAUCGGAAUUACUGGGCGUAAAGCGCACGCAGGCGGUUUGUUAAGCUAGAUGUGAAAGCCCCGGGCUCAACCUGGGAUGGUCAUUUAGAACUGGCAGACUAGGGUCUUGGAGAGGGGAGUGGAAUUCCAGGUGUAGCGGUGAAAUGCGUAGAUAUCUGGAGGAACAUCAGUGGCGAAGGCGACUCCCUGGCCAAAGACUGACGCUCAUGUGCGAAAGUGUGGGUAGCGAACAGGAUUAGAUACCCUGGUAGUCCACACCGUAAACGCUGUCUACUAGCUGUGUGUGCCUUUAAGGCGUGCGUAGCGAAGCUAACGCGCUAAGUAGACCGCCUGGGGAGUACGGCCGCAAGGUUAAAACUCAAAUGAAUUGACGGGGGCCCGCACAAGCGGUGGAGCAUGUGGUUUAAUUCGAUGCAACGCGAAGAACCUUACCUACACUUGACAUGCAGAGAACUUUCUAGAGAUAGAUUGGUGCCUUCGGGAACUCUGACACAGGUGCUGCAUGGCUGUCGUCAGCUCGUGUCGUGAGAUGUUGGGUUAAGUCCCGCAACGAGCGCAAC
rnacentral:rRNA from 1 species